rnacentral:piRNA from 1 species
UCCUGAGUUUAAACAAUUUCA